rnacentral:rRNA from 1 species
UGUGAACUCGAAGAGUAGGGCGGGACACGUGGUAUCCUGUCUGAAUAUGGGGGGACCAUCCUCCAAGGCUAAAUACUCCUGACUGACCGAUAGUGAACCAGUACCGUGAGGGAAAGGCGAAAAGAACCCCGGCGAGGGGAGUGAAAAAGAACCUGAAACCGUGUACGUACAAGCAGUGGGAGCACCUUCGGGUGUGACUGCGUACCUUUUGUAUAAUGGGUCAGCGACUUAUAUUCUGUAGCAAGGUUAACCGUAUAGGGGAGCCGCAGGGAAACCGAGUCUUAACUGGGCGUUAAGUUGCAGGGUAUAGACCCGAAACCCGGUGAUCUAGCCAUGGGCAGGUUGAAGGUUGGGUAACACUAACUGGAGGACCGAACCGACUAAUGUUGAAAAAUUAGCGGAUGACUUGUGGCUGGGGGUGAAAGGCCAAUCAAACCGGGAGAUAGCUGGUUCUCCCCGAAAGCUAUUUAGGUAGCGCCUCGUGAAUUCAUCUUCGGGGGUAGAGCACUGUUUCGGCUAGGGGGUCAUCCCGACUUACCAACCCGAUGCAAACUACGAAUACCGAAGAAUGUUAUCACGGGAGACACACGGCGGGUGCUAACGUCCGUCGUGAAGAGGGAAACAACCCAGACCGCCAGCUAAGGUCCCAAAGUCAUGGUUAAGUGGGAAACGAUGUGGGAAGGCACAGACAGCCAGGAUGUUGGCUUAGAAGCAGCCAUCAUUUAAAGAAAGCGUAAUAGCUCACUGGUCGAGUCGGCCUGCGCGGAAGAUGUAACGGGGCUAAACCAUGCACCGAAGCUGCGGCAGCGACACUAUGUGUUGUUGGGUAGGGGAGCGUUCUGUAAGCCUGCGAAGGUGACCUGUGAGGGUUGCUGGAGGUAUCAGAAGUGCGAAUGCUGACAUAAGUAACGAUAAAGCGGGUGAAAAGCCCGCUCGCCGGAAGACCAAGGGUUCCUGUCCAACGUUAAUCGGGGCAGGGUGAGUCGACCCCUAAGGCGAGGCCGAAAGGCGUAGUCGAUGGGAAACAGGUUAAUAUUCCUGUACUUGGUGUUACUGCGAAGGGGGGACGGAGAAGGCUAUGUUAGCCGGGCGACGGUUGUCCCGGUUUAAGCAUGUAGGCUGGUUGUCCAGGCAAAUCCGGAUAAUCAAGGCUGAGGUGUGAUGACGAGGCACUACGGUGCUGAAGUAACAAAUGCCCUGCUUCCAGGAAAAGCCUCUAAGCAUCAGGUAACAUCAAAUCGUACCCCAAACCGACACAGGUGGUCAGGUAGAGAAUACCAAGGCGCUUGA